rnacentral:lncRNA from 1 species
AAAAAAAAGGUAAAAAUAAACUAGUAGAUACAUUGUGUCUUGUAAAAACUAAACAAUAGUUACCUUAUUUUCAUAAAAAAAAAAAAACAAUAUAUAUAUAUUUUUUUCAAAUUACACAAUAGUUUCACAAUUUUCAUAAAAAUUAAAUAAUAGGUACUUUAUUUUGCAUAUAUGGGUUUGUUAUUAUGUAGGUAAAUUAUUUUUCAUGCAUUUUACAUAUAUUGGGUAUACUAUUUUUUUUUUUAAGCAAUCUAACAUUUUAAAAUUUUAAUAGUAGGUGCACUGUUUGAAUCAAAUGUUUUUUUUUUAUAGGUAAAUUAUUUUGCAUGAAUUUUACAUAUAUCAGGCAUAUAUAUAUAUAUAUAUGUGUGUGUGUGUGUGUGUGUGUGUGUGUGUGUGAGAGAGAGAGAGAGAAAUAAUUUACUUACAUUAAUAUGUAAAAUAUAAUUUUAUUGACUUAAUUAAGCAUGUAUAAUAACAUAUAUUAGACAUGUUUUAUGUUAUUAUAUAUUAGGCAAUGAAUUUAUAACAUUUUUGUUUUUUUUGUUUUUUUGUAAAAUCAUUAAUUCUCCCGUACCAUCCAUCCGCAUGGCAUUAAUUAUGUACAUUAAACAUUCAAAUAGGGUUUGUAAAAAAAUAAAAAUAUUCAAAUAGGGGUAUUUUAGGCAUCCAAAUUUUUUUUAAUGUGUGAAGUCAAACAUAAUUAAUGAAUUUGCUGAUGUGAAAUCUAGUCAAUGGUUUUAUUCAAGAAAAAAACUUAUCUCGGGUUUUAUGUAGAGAAGAUUUAGUUUUAGGGGUUAAAGUCAUAUUUUCAGUUUUCAAAAUUCAAUCUCUUCCUUGUCUGUCUCAAAUUCUUUUCCGACUCAUUCUUUGUUCAUAGAAUAUCGGUUUUCUGGUUAUUUUGACCCCUUAUCAUGUCUUGAAUGCUCAUUGUA